rnacentral:rRNA from 1 species
GAUGAACGCUGGCGGCGUGCCUAACACAUGCAAGUCGAGCGGAAAGACGGGGAGCUUGCUCCUUUACCGUUAGCGGCGGGCGGGUGAGUAACACGUGGAUCACAUACUUCUAUGUCUGGGAUAACUACGGGAGAACGGAGAUAAUACCGGAUAAUAUAUUGAACCGCAGGGUUCAAUGGAUCUAGACGGCUUUGGUGUCACUAUUAGCUGGUUCCGGGUCGGAUUAGCUAGUUGGUAAGGUAAAGGCCUACCAAGGCUACGAUGCGUAGCUGAGCUGAGAGGAUGAUCAGCCACACUGGAACUGAGACACGGUCCAGACUCCUACGGGAGGCAGCAGUAGGGAAUAUUGGGCAAUGGGCGAAAGCCUGACGCAGCAAUGCCGCGUGGGUGAUGAAGGUCUUCGGAUCGUAAAGCUCUGUUAUUGGGGAAGAACAGAAGUAGAUUAAUCCAUGGACGUCUUGACGGUACCUAAUCAAAAAGCCCCGGCUAACUACGUG